UGUAGAUCAGCUUGUAUAUCGUUGUCGGAGAUUAUUUUAUAAGAAAUUUUUCAACAUUAAAUAGGUUUAUUGAUGUCAAAUCAAGGUGCAGUUUAUGUUUAGGGUUGAGAUGGGUUACAAUAUAGGAAUAUAAACGGAUAUGAGUUUGUAAUGCUUAUGUAAGGUGGAUUUAAUUGCAAUAUAAAAUUAUUUAUUUUAUAUGGAAAAGUACUAAUAUAUGC
rnacentral:rRNA from 1 species